ACAAUUCGUUUUGGUGUUCUUCUAUAGGUGAACCGAAGUCUAACUGUAUCCAUUUUUAAUGUUUUCGAGUUUGUUUAUCACUGUUCAAAGUGUCUCUAGGCCAAGAGGUGGAAUCAAUAGUUGUCUUCAAUGGCUUCCUAUUUCUAUUUACAAAAGAAUUCGUCAUUUUAUCAUAAGUACCUGUGCCGGAUUCUACAUUAACGCUACUGGAAUCACGGAUGUGUUUGAGGGUAGCUGAUGCGAAGCAGAUUGCUACGAUGGCUCGUAGUACGUUUGACAAGAUAGGAUUGUCCCGUUGUUACUUGUUAGUGGUGGCAUCUAGUUGUGAUACUAUUUCGUUGUAAGCUCCAUAAGACAACUAGCUAUGGAAAAUGUCUUCAUUGGUCAGGUUAAGUCCACGCUCUUCCUUGAAAAAUAACAUUUUGUUAUGGCUUUGUUGUUUUCCACGAUGGUUUUAGCAGAUCUUUCCCUGUGAAUGAUAUAUGAAAUUGCCAAAUAUGGCCUCAUAGUCUCUGUUUUCUUGUUGUCUUUAACUGUUUUUUUUUUUCCUUCUUUUUUGUUGUUGGUGGUUACAUUACCAAAUUUUGUUAUUUCUCCGCUGUUUUCUUAGGUGCAACAUCCAAGGUCGCAUCUCGAUAGAUUUGAUCUAGUGCUCACAUCUCGUCAUGAUUAUUUUUCUUCAACACCUGAAGGAAAGAGGCAAUUUCCUUUCUU